AAAUUCAACAAUUUAAAUAAUAAUAUUAAAUAAAAUUCAAUUAUAAUCCAAUAGUUAACAAUUCAACAUGAAUUACAUACAAUAACAUCACAAAUCUACAAAUAAAAAUAUCACAACAUUAAUCAAACAUAAAAAAUAACAUAAAUUCAAUUACACCACCAUUAAAUUUCACAAAUAAAAUUAAUGCAUUUAAUUUAAGUAAUUAAACCAAAAGUAAAUCUGAAAUUAAAGUAAUUAAGGAAGAUGACAAACUACAUUUAUGCAUAAUGACAUUAAUUAAUUUAAAAGGUAAAAUAAUAAUAAUAAUAAUGGAAGAUGAUGAUAGAUAACAAUUAUGAGAGGGACACCUCUAUGACCAAAUGAUGUGAUUGAAUGGUUCUGUAAACGCAAUUCAUGAAAGCACAAAACGACACCAAAAAAGCAUAGCCUUGCUCACAGAAAAUCUGAAAUUGAUUUGCUGGAAAUUUGUGUGCCCACCUUGUGUAUUGGUCGGUCAACCUUAUCCUUCGAUAUUGAGAUCUACUGCCGCGAAUCAACCUUCUUUGAGAUUGGAUGAGUAUUCCCUUCUGGAAACAACGGCCAAGGACAUAAAGAAUAGACAAGGCAGCCGUGUGUGGUGCGCUUCGCUAGCCAUUGAUGCAGUGGGUUGCCGGCGUUCGAUGACAGUGAAAUGCACUGAGCAAGACGAGGUACGGCAGCCGGUGUUCGAUGACAGCAGCGCGUGCUCAGCUCAGGCAAGGCAUCCAACGCUCAAUGACAGUGAUUGCGAGGAGGACGGCGUUCAACGGUUAGGGAUUUGGGGUGGUUUUUUAUUUCAGUCGCAUGUGAGUGGUGGGAAGCAGGGGAGGCGUGAAUGGUUUAGGGUUACUGGAUUUGUUUUUUUUUUUUUUUUUUCACUUAUAUAUUUUUUAAUACAAAUUUAUUAAAUUAAUAAUAUAGCACGGAUCAUGAUUCUUAGACUCUGGAUCCGGAUUUUUCCGGAUCUUUGCGGAUCCGGACCGGACCUGGAUUAUUUUGCCAUCCCUAUGUAAAAGUGAUUAAUUUAUACAAAUUUAAAAAGAAAAAUAAUGCAGAAAAAAUUUUAAAAUUUUGU
rnacentral:lncRNA from 1 species